CGUGCCACCACACCUGGCUAAUUUUUGUAUUUUUAGUAGAGAUAGGGUUUCACUAUGUUGACCGUGUGGUCUUGAACUCCUGACCUCAUGAUCCACCCACCUCAGCCUCCCAAAGUGCUGGGAUUACAGGCAUGAGCUACCGUGCCCGGCCAAAACAGUACCUGUUUUAUGAGCUCUUGUGACUCGGGGGCUUGACUGGGCUUGGUAGGGUAGUUCUGCUCCAUGGGACUGCAGUCAAUGGGGACCCAUUUGGGCCAGACAUCCUGGAUGGUACACACCCAUGGCUAGCAGCUGUGGCUGGCUGUCUGCUGGAAGCUCAACUGAGGCUGUCGACUGACACACAUACAUGACCUCUCCAUGUGGCUUGAACUUCCAGCACAGAAGCUGGGUCCUGAGAGGGAAUGUUCCAGAAGUGUGCAUUCCAAGAGGGAGAAAACAAGAGCUGCUUGUCCUCUUAAAGGCUAGGGCCAGCACAAGCAUGGCAUUGCUCUACCACAUUCUGCUAGUUCAGUGGCCACAGGGCCAGCCCAGAGGCAAGGGCUUCAUGGGGAGAAUGAUGAAUAAUGUAUGUCCACCUUUAAUCACACCUGGACAGUAGCAGUGCUGAGGGAGGGAUGCAGACUCAAGAGAGGUUUAGGGAGAGUGGACAGGACUUGGCACCUCAUUGUUCAUGGAAGAAAGAACUGGGGAUGCCAAGAAGGUGUUGCCCUGAGCAUCUGUCAGGAUGAUCACUUUAAUCCCUAGAGCCAGCCAUGGGGUUCUGACAUGGGGCAGCCUCUCUGCUAGGCGUUGCAUGUGUUCUUUGGAAGGGAAAGAUGAUCGGCACCUUUGCCCAGGACACUCACAACCCUAAUAGCAUCGCAUCCUAGUCAGAUGAGCCAGGCUUCUCAUAGAGCACUAAUGGAAGCGGGCUCAGGACAGGUAAGUUUUGAUAGCAGACGAGAUGGAAAAAGAAAAAUACUGGAUGCUCCUGGGAGUUAAGAGGUGUAGAAGCCAGGAUGGGAUGUGGUAUGCACAGGUCAGGGAGAUGGACAGAGACUGGCCUCUGAUUACCCUGAAGCAGUAAGUUCUUGCAGAUGUUAUCAGAGACUGAACUAUUCCCCUGCCAGGGUGGCACAGGCCUCCCCCAAGUGGUGUCAGCUGAUCCAUGUGGGAGUCGAGAUGGCAGCAUCAUGUCAUAAUUUCCCUCCAUCCUUGGCCCAGGGCCAUCUGGUGAAGGGUGUCCUAUAGUUCCGCUGAAUGGGAGAGAAUCCAAAAAUCACCUUACCGAACAUCACUAAGGUCAAGCUGAGGCAGUGUAUGAUAUAUAUUUUUAUUUCUUUUUUCACUAAAGUAUUUUUUUUUCCCUCCAGCUCCCUGGCUAAGCUGGCUUUCCUUCAGAUCUGGGGCUUCUGGUCUCGAGGUCACCUGUGUUUCCGGGCCAAAGAUGGUUGUUAACUUGUUCCUCGGAUUGUUCAGUUUCUCAUUCCUGUGCUUUGACCAAGAGGCCAAGUCCAUCCAUUUAAAGUCAUCUCCAAAGACCGGGCUUGGUUCCGGACAUGGCGGGACUGGCUCAGGCAGGAGGCUGACUCAGCCGUGAGAAACAUUAAUGCCUGCCCAUGGUCAUUCUCUUCCUUCGGAAUGCCAGGCUCCUGGGGAUUAGAUGUAAGGAAACUUAUAGAGGCGUCCCAGGGCCACCACUUAUAAAUCAUGUGACCUUGGGCAAGCUAGUCCAUAAAAUAUGAGACUCGCUAUCUCCAUCCAUAAUGUUAGACUAAGACCUCUCAGGCAGACCCUGAGUUCUGUGCAUUGGACAGACCCUGAAUUCUGUUAGGAGGACAAUCUGCCUUCCUCAAGUAAGAUAAUGUCCCGCAUCCCUCUUCCUUUGGGCGACUUCAUUCUUCCCAUCCAGACUGUGGUUGGGGUGUGGUCACCAAUCAACUCCAUCUGGCCACAGGAUUGGGCAAAAAACUCAAUCAUGUGGACUAAUCAAACUCCCACAGUGAUUGGUCCAGGAAUAGACACAUGACCCAAGUUCCACCAAUCAGAUUCCUUCCCUAGGACUUUUUUCACCUGAGCUGGGGAAGAAUUAUCUUUUCACUCUCAAAGCAAGGUUGUUAGGUUCUAAGACUGAAGCUGCUCUUUAUCUCUUCUCCCAACACCUGGCUUACAUGAGCCCAUAAGUUUCCCUUCUUCUCGGACUAGUUUCAGUUGGGUUCUGACAGUGUACCUUACAAUCAAAAAGUCCUGAAGAAAGCGUUACUUUUUGAUGCCAUUGUAAUAAUGAUAAUGAGAGCCGCUUUAUUAUAUGCCUCCGGUUUGCCAGGUUCUGUGCCAAGAGCUUCCAUAUAUUAUCUCAUGGCUUACCUCGACCUGUAGUUAUUUGUGUGCCUGGUGGCACUCCCCGACUGCACCUAACCUCCUGGAGGUUGAUUUCAUCUCAACAUUGCCCAGGGCACCCCGCUUGGUGCCUGUCCUGCACCUGGUGCAUGGCAGCCUGACAGCCCCUCAGGGGGUCACCUUGGAGGGUCACACAGAGACGUGCAGUCCGUCACCACACGUGUUCCACAGGUCACAUGGAGUUGGCCCUCUGGCCAGAGGUUGGCUGGGGACUGAUCUUCAUGGGGUGGCUACAUAAAAGUGGGAGCCCUCCCCACUCCUGCCUCUCCUGCCGACCCCAGCCUCAGCCCCUUCUUUCCUAAGCAGCCUUUUCUAUUAUUAUUUUAACAGCUGGCUCCAGAAUUUUUUCUGGAUACUGUGUAGAGGGUAUGGGGAAUAAGGAACUUGCUGCUCCUGCUAAGCCACCCGGGGUGAAGGUGAGAUCUCCCUAGGGCUCCAGCUGGCUUGUGGAGGAAGAAGUAGCAUCUAUGCUGGGACUGACAGGUGGGCAGGAGUCAGGAGUUGGGAGAGCAGAGAGGGGAACCGCACAGAGAGGACCCAGGCUCAGGAGGCUGCGUGGGCACCUGAGGAACUGGCCAGAUGGUGGAGCUCAGGGAGGCCUGGGGUGCGAGAUGAGGAGGAGCCUGGACGUCCCAGCACUGGCUUUCAUUAUUCUAGCACAUCUCAGGAUUUUUUAAGAAUAGAAAACCUGGCAUUUAUAUUGGCAACGAAAAAUGCUUGAAAUCUAAAUUAUUCUCAUCUGAAGCUAGAAAUAUCCAUAAUGGGCCAGGUGUGAUGGCUCAUGCCUAUAAUCCCAGCACUUUGGGUGGCCGAGGUGGGUGGAUCACCUGAGGUCAAGAGUUCGAGACCAACCUGGCCAACAUGGUGAAACCCCAUCUCUGCUAAAAUACAAAAAUUAGCCAGGCGUGGUGGCGGGUGCCUGUAAUCCCAGCUACUUGGGAGGCUAAUACAAGAGAAUCUCUUGAACCCAGGAGGCAGAGGUUGCAGUGAGCUGAGAUCGUGCAACCGCACUCCAGCCUGGGUGACAGAGCCAGACUCCAUCUCAAAAAAAGGAAAAAGAAAUACCCAGAAUGUUACAUGUGCACUCAAGCACUGAAUUGAAUGAAGUACUGGUUUUGGUGGUAACUACAGCUUUCCAUUGCUUAAAACCCUUUCAGGCUGGACGUGGUGGCUCAUGCCCAUAAUCCCAAUGCUUUGGGAGGCUGAGGUGAGAGGAUCAUCUGAUCCAGGAGUUCAAGACCAGCUGGGGCAACGUAGCAAGACCCCAUCUCCACAAACUUACAAAAAAUUAGCUAAGUAUGGUGGUGCAUGCCUGUAGUCCCAGUUACUCCAGAGGCUAAGGCAAGAGGGUUGCUUGAGCCUGGGAGGUUGAGGUUGUAGUGAGCUAUGAUCAUGCCACUGAACUCCAGCCUGUGUGACAGAGCGAGGCCCUGUCUCAAUCAAUCAAUCAAUCAAUCAAUCAAUCAAUCCUUUCAAAAUAUCUUAUUGCUGUUUAGUUUCCAUUUUCCAGGUUUUUAAUGAGGCUAAGGAGCUUUUCAAAGGUUCACUCUUCCUGCCUAGCCAUUUGGGCUGUGUAGUUCAAGAGGAUCUGUAGCAUCUUUUUACAAAGAAGAAGGUUAAGGCGUUAGGGGAGGAGCAGGGAGAACAGGAGGAAGGAGCUCCCAGGCCCUGUUUUCAGCCCUUCCUUCCCCUCCUCUUUUCUUUUUUGAGGCCUGCUCCAUUCUCUUAGGGCCUGACCCUGACCUGCCAACCCCAGAUAAGGUGUUGUGACUAGGCCCUCCUUCCCCCAGGGUUCCCCCUGGAGAGACCCAAGGCAAUGGAUGGAGGAGCAUUGGCCCCACCCCAUCUCCUCACCCCACUUAAGGGAACAGCAUCUGAGGACAGGUGGCAGCAGGUAGUGUGGCCCCACCUCACUUCACAUUGCAGGGAGCUCUGUCACUUUGCUCCUUUGUUGCAAAUGCCAUUGGAAAGGCCAGUGCUGUGCUGCCUAGUGAGGUCUUCAAGGUGUUGGCCGGAUGCUUGAAGAAAGUGGAAGCCAUGGAAGGUUGUAUUCAGGAGAGGGGCAUGGCCCCUUCUGAGCAUGUUUCCACUGGUGGGAGGCCAUAGAGAGAAUGAUAAGGAAGGAGAAUGAGGCCACGUGGAUGACAGCUAACCCCUGCUGAGAGCCCAUUCUGAGCCGUGCACUGUAUGCCAUUUACUGGCAAAAGAGCAUGAGUAGGUGGUCAAGGUCGCCCAGCUGACAAGUGACAAAGUCAGAGCCAUCACAUUUCACCUGAGAUUCCUCCCCAGUUGUUUCAGGCAUGUUCGAUUUGUUUCCUAGCAAUAACUUUGCAAGGAUGGUCCUACUGUCCCCAUUCACAGAUGGGAAAACUGAGGGCAAAUGGUAGAGCCAAGUAAUGAAUGUGUUCUGCUUGGUCUUUACUUCUCAUGGAUACUCAAGGAAGGCAGCAGGUCUGGGCAAAGAAGGAAGGUGUUUCUUCACCAGAAGCAAAAUUUGUGUUGGAAAAGGGAUCUUAGAAAAGCCCCAGCCUCGACAUUCCUGAGCUCAGCCUCAGGGCUUUAUACAUACUUUGAUGAACACUUAAUAUGUUGCAAUUUUUCUGUUCUACCACAGGGUCAGCGCAUACAGUUGUAUAGGUUAUGCACUGCACAACUCAUGGAGUUCCAUGGCCUAAACCUGAGGGACCCAUCUUGCAGUCUCUGAGAUGGUGUGGAGUGGCGUCCACAGAUGAGGGCUUUGCUGACAAGUAGCGGGGUUUGAAUCUAGUCUUGGUUACUGGGUCGAGGAGCUUUUUCUAUUCUCCUUGAUCCCAUUUCCUCAUCUGUGAAGUGGAGAUGGUAUCAUCAUCUCUUCUCCCUCGGGGACUGUCAGGAUAGCAGGAGAGAACACACGGCAUAUGGCCCUUUACACAGGGCCUGGUACUAGUGGGGCCUUGGUAGAGUUCAGUUUCUCAUACUUCUGUCUCUCUGAGUGGACUUGAGGGCAGGCAGAGGCCCUGUCUAACUCAUUCCUGCAUCCCCAGCGCCCAGCGCUGUCCUUGCACGUGGGAGGGACUAGGCACCCAUUUGCUAAGGGACCAGAGAAAUCAUGCUGGAGGCAGAGAGGGGAUUUGGGGAACACUGGGGCAGCAGGCCCCAGUCCGGCAUCCCCACCCCACCUUUUCCCUCUUGGAGACAGCCUGGUCUGAGUUAUUUCCCUUCCCGACACUUCCCUGCCUCCAGGGCACAUUUUCUCCAGGUGAGUCCACCCAGGCAGAGGGCGAAGCCAGCAGGCACAGGCUGGAUUCCUGCAGAGGCGCGCAUUUCAUUUGGCCUGCACCAUGGCUUCACAUUUUUAAAAUUAGUUGCCGAUAUUUUACAAUUUGGAGAUUUCACCUAGAAACCUGGAUUUCCAGCUAUUCUUGAAAAAUCAAAAGAUCUAGCAGCCCUGGGCCUGCAGCUGGCAGCUGGUGUGCAGCAGCCACUGUUCCUUUGUGUUGGGUAUAUGCUGCUCAGUUUGCCACCAGAUCCACCUGGUCCAAGUCCCCCUCCCUUAUGACUCCUGCCCUUCCCCUGGUGAACCUGCAACCCCUGGCUCUAUGGAGCGCCCGGGCCAUCCCACUAACCUCACAGGUCUUGGUUUGGCAAAUCAUGACCGUGCCAGGGUCUUUGCCUGUGGAACGAGGAUCUGUGGGGGUGCCUUCCAAAUGUGCCAACCAAUGCUCACGACCAAGCCUUCAGUGUAACGAUCUGCCCACUUUCUCCUCCUCCCCCUGCCUCCGUGAGCCAGCGAAGCUGCUGCCCUGUUUGGGGACACAAACAUACACACGUUAUUAGAACCUCAGAUCAAAGGCGGCGUCCUACAGCCUGCCUCUCAAUGGUCCCUUUGUGCAGGCGGAAGCCUGCAAGAGAGUUAGAAUCCAGGGAGAACAGGAGGGGCUGGAGGGGGGCUCAAAACAAAGAUACUUGUCACCCUGAGAAGUCCGCAGAAAUGAUGUUAAAAGAGGCGCCAGGUGGAGGAUGUACCCCGGCUCGCUGCUGGAAGAUGCAAAUGGAGAAUUCUCAGUUCUGCAGAGGAGAAGAAAACACCCCUGUCCCUUGUGGUUUCAGAGGAAGGGGUGACAGUGGCUGCCCACCCCCUCCGCCAGCAGCAGCCUGCGUCUGCCUUCCUGGCCUCGCCAGGGGUGGAUGUGAUACUGGCAAGGGCUUCUUGGAACGAAAAGGUGACAGUGACCUUGUCUUGGGCACAGAGUCAGAAGAAACAAAAUGAUGUGGGGGGGGGGCCUGGGGAAGGCCAGGGGAAGCCGUGGGGGCAGCGUCACCUCUGGCCAGAUGGGCCUGUGUGUUCAGCCCUUCAGGCCUACAGCAAAGCAUUUCAAAAGCCCCUACUGUGUGCCAGCCACAGUGUGAUGCGAGGCAGGAGCAGAGAGGAUUAACUUGGGGUCAGGACCUCAGCGGAGGCAGAGAGGGCGACGCUGUUCUAACCAGGGCAUCAGAGAGAGCUAGCAUCUGCUGAGGUCCCCUCGGCUGGAUGCCCUACGCAUUUUACACACAUUGUCUCAUUUAUCUCUAGGGUUGGUUUGAACAAAGAAGUGCUUUGAGAGUUCAGAUGUGGAGCCAGGAACCCUGCCUGCCAUGGGAUGCAGGGAGAGGGGGUGGCGAGCAGGUAUGGAAGAGAGGGUUUUCUAGGAGGGGAACAGAAGCCAAGAGGCCGCCGUGGUGCUGGGAUGCGCAGGAGGCAGGCGGAAUUCACCGGUGUCUGCGGCCUGCGACACUUGCAGACCUCUCAUCUUUGCAAGGCCAUGGGGCUCUCUCCUUGGCCCUCUUCUGUUCUCUGUCCACAGUCAUUCCCCAGGGCAUCACAUCCAGUGUUGGGCUUUCAAUUCCAUCUGCCUGCUUAUGAUGCCUGGGCACAUAUCUGCAGCCUGCAGCUUGCUUCUGUACUCUGGGCUCAUAGAUCCAACUGGCCACUCAAUCUCACUGCCAGGACACUCAACGGUCGUCUCAAAACAACGUGCCAAAUGGAGCUCCUCUUCUUCCUUGCCUGGCAGACCAGCUCCACCCGCAGGCUUCCUCAUUGCAGUUCAUGGCAGCUCCAUCCUUGGAGUUGCUUAGGCCCCGCAUCUUGGCGGCUUCCUUAGUUUCUCUGUUUCUCUCCCACUCCACGUCCAAUACAUUUGCUAAUGCUGUUGCCUCUAAUUUCAAAAUACAUUCAGCGUCCAACUUCUUUUACCUCCUCCACUGCCAUCACCUGGUCUAAGUCGCCAUCAUCUCAGGCCUGGCGCCCCACCAUAGCCCUGUGACCCACACUUAUUCUCAACACAGCAGCCCAGUUGCUCUGGUUACUACUCUCUCUUUUUUUGAGACAGGGUCUCACUCUGUUGCCCAGGCUUGAGUGCAGUGGUGCAGUCUCAGCUCACUGCAACCUCUGCCUCCUGGGCUCCAGCAAUCCUCCCACCUCAGCCUCCCUAGUAGCUUGGAAUACAGACAUGCAUCACCAUACCUGGCUACUUUUUAAAAUUAUUUUUUGUGGAGACAGGAUUUUGUCAUGUUACCCAGGCUGGCCUCAAUCUUCUGGUUGCAAGGGAUCAACCCACCUCAGCUUCCCAAAGUGCUGGGAUUACAGGCAUGAGCCACCAUGCCCAGCCACAACUCUCUUCUAGUAACUCCUGUCUUUCUCCAGGAAAGCUGAAGUUUUUGAUGAGACCUAUAAGGGUCUCAUGAUCUGUCCCCGUCACCUCCAACCUCAUCUUCUCCCCAAUACUCCCAAACUGUGGUCUCUCUGCUCCAGAGCCGGGGGCCUCUUUGCUGUUUCCAAAACAUUCCUGGCAUAUCCUUACCUCAGGCCCUUUGCACAUGCUGUUCCCUCUGUUUCUUCCUCAUUUUCAAGUCUUUGCACAAAGCUUAUCCUCUCUGACCUGUCUAUCUAAAAUCAUUAGCUCCUGCCCUGGUAUUUUUUCUUUCUCUUUAUCACUUGAAUUUUUUCUCCCAUAGACACACCACAUAUUUCACUGACUUAUGUAUUUAUUGUCUGUCUUCCUCUAUGAGAAUAUAAACUUCAUGAGGAUGGCAUUUUUGUCUGUUUUGUGGACACAAGAGCCUGAUGUAAAUUAGGCGCCCAACAAAUCUUCACUGAAUGACAUGAUAAAUAAAAGAGAAGCACCCACCUUUAUUUCUUGGUUGCCUCCUCCCUGACUUUGGCCUCUCCAUCUCCUCCCCAGCAUGGCUGCUUAUGCGAGGCAAGGGCAAGCUAUGUAACCUUGGUUGCUUCUGAGAAGGCUUAACUUUCUAGAGCCUCCAACUGUGUGUGGUCUAUACACCAGCACCAUCAGCCUCACCUGGGAGCUGGUGAGAAAUGACUCUCAGGCUCCACUCACACUGCAUCUCAACAAGAUCCCGGUGAAUUCAUAUGCACAUUAAAUUCCAGGGAGCCCUCCUCUAGGCUAUUUGACCCUAGCUCAAGAAAGGGGGAUUAAGAGUCUUACAGGGAGGGAUCCAAGGUCAGCAUAUACAGUUAGUCAGGGACCAGUCUGUCUGUGUCUCUCUCUCCAUGGGGUUUACUAUCAUUGCUUUCCCCUAAUGGUUCUUACUCCUGCUUCUUCCUGCUUAUUUUUCAGCCCACAGCGACCCCAAGAAGCUGCUCCAACCCCUGGGACUAUGGAGCUCUACAGCUGUAGAGACCACCAGGAAGUGGACUGCAGGCCCCUGGCCUCUCCAUUCAGAUUCUGCAAAGAGAUCCUGAUGGGUUGGGCCAAUGGGUCAGGCAUCCAGUCAGCUCUGGCUAAGGGGUGAAGGAGUCAGGUGUUACCAACGUGGUGGCAGGGGCCACCUUGAAGCUGUGUUCUGUGCCAUGGAAGAAGGAAGAGGAGGAGGAAGCUAAGCUGGAAGGGAAGGCAGGUGAUACAGGAAAAUUAACUAUGAGCUUUGCUAUAGUGACCACUUUUCCUUCACUCCUUGAGCUGUGGCCUUAAGAACUGUGUACCAAUGGGAGGCACUUGCAUAGUAAGUGUUCAUUUGCUGAAUACUUACAGAGGGCUAUAAGUGGACAAAUAUGUCCAAAAACACAUGAAACACACACCAUCAACACUUGCAGAUGGUCUCCUUCAGGGAACCUUUCCACACUGGCUCUCCCCUCACUGAGCUUUCCUUCCUAUCACCCUCCCAGUCUAGGCUCCUGGAGUCAGUAGUUGGAAUCUCAGAUGGGAAGAAACCUUAAAAGUCAUCUGGUCCAGUAUUUUCCAAAGCAUGUUCCAUGAACUUGUUUUCCAGAAAUGGUUUCCUGGUCUGGUGAGUUUAAGAAACCCUGCUUAUGACGAUGCUCUCCAUUUAGAGAAUCACAAAGCUUGGCUACUCAAUGAAAGCUCUGACAAGUCCUGCAGGAAAAAACUUGUCUUCUUUUGGCUAAGCUAGGGCUGCCCAAAGUUUCUCAUGGAGUCCUUUCUUGCACAUAAUAAUAGCAUCUCACAAACCAGUGGUCGGGGGAACCCAUUACGGGAAAUGCUAAUCUUCUGGACCCUUCCUUCUAUUUUAUAGGUGGAGAGGCUGUGUGGUGGUCUGGUUGGCUGCAUGUAACUGAAAAACAAAGGCUUAAAAAGAUAGGGGCUUCUUUUGCUCUUUUGUUAACAAAGUCUGGGAAUAGUCAAAGACUGGUACUGUGACUAGAAAGGCUUCUGAUAUGGUUUGGCUCUGUGUUCCCACCCAAAUCUCACCUUGAGUUGUAAUGAUCCCCAUAUGUCAAGGGCAGGAUCAGGUGGAGGUAAUUGAAUCAUGAGGGCAGUUAAUCCCAUGCUGUUCUUGUGAUAGUGAGUUCUCACAGGAUCUGAUGGUUUUAUAAGGGGCUUUUCCCCUUUGCUCGGCACCUCUCUCUCCUGCUGCUAUGUGAAGAGGGACGUGUUUGCUUCUCCUUCUGUCAUGAUUGUAAGUUUCCUGAGGCCUCCCCAGCCAUGUAGAACUGUGAGUCAAUUAAACCUCUUUCCUUUAUAAAUUGCCCAGUUCCGGUAUGUUCUUGUAGCAGCCUGAGAACGGACUAAUAUAGCUUCUCUGCCCAGUGUGAAGAAGAGCAGAGAGGCAGGGCUGGGAGGAGAACAAGGCACCUGCCAAGGAGAUGGGGAGGCUGGGCUGGCUUUCCCUCUCCUCCAGGCUCACCUGGGAAGCCUGUGCUCUAAACUUGCUCAAACAUCCUGAACCCAGGAGGAGUUGGUGGUACACAAAUUCAAUUCAAUUCAACCCCACAUCCAGACUGUACUCAAGCAGCAGUCUUUUGGCCCAGUCAUCUCCAACCUCAUCUUCUCCCCUCUACUCCCAAACCAUGCUCUCUCUGCUCCAGAGCCAGGGGCCUCUUUGCUGUUUCCAAAACAUCCAUGGCAGUCUCCACUUCAGGGCCUUUACAUGUGCUGUUCCCUCUGCCUUUAGUACCCAAACAGAAUGGCUUGGAGACCCCAGCCCUAGUUCUUGGGGAAGCCCAGCCUCCUCCAUCUCAUAUCUAAGGCCUGAGGCCUCCUGGCUGCCUCUGGCUCCCAUCUUUUCUCCUGCAGGGUAUCUCCACUGUGAAGAUUGCUGUUGGCCCCAUUAAUUACCUGUAGGAGUCAUCUUUCUGAUUCCUUAAUUUUGUCCUGUGCCACUAACCCAGGAAGUGGCUAGGAUUUUGCUGAGGGCUUGGAGUAACAGAGGAAGAAGAGAGCACUGCCAAUCGCAUGUUAGAGCUCACUGUCCCAAAAGUGAAUUGGCCAGUCCCCACCUUGCUGGCUGUGCCUUCUUAGGCCCCAUUAUCACUCUCUUCUCAUGCUGUUUCCUUUGAGAUCUUUGUUUUCCCUUCCCUCCAAAAUGCCUGAUAUUUUCUCAGGCAGAGUAGUCUAACUUUCCCCUCCUCACCCAAACUAGGCUUCCAGGCCCUUUAGCAAUGCCAAAACUCACCAGGGAACUAUAAAAUAAAGCAACUCCAGGGAUCCAGGAGGAACCAGUGGAGACUUGGGAACUGAUUUUCUCCUUCAUAUAUCCAAGAUCGUAUUAUUGGCAGUACUCCCUCCUUAUUGACCACAACAUGCUCCUGGCUGAGGCUGGGCAGAGAGAGUUUGUCUCCUUCCACAGCAGGUGUGAUGGCACCUGCUAUAGGCAGUGCUGUGUUCGGCAUUGCAUUCAGAGAUGCAAGUAAGGCAAGAACCCUGGCCUCAAGGAGCCCUGGCUCCAGGAGUGAAACUUAGCCUCAUGCAUAAAAUAAGUGGAGAUGGGAGGGGGCAGGGAAACCUUGGCUAAUCAGAGCAGAGAAGAGCCCUUCAGGUUGGAAGGUCAAGGAGGGCUUCCUUUAGGAAAUGGCAUUUGAAGGGGCCAGAUCAGAUGGCUUAACUUCGGGGACAAGCUUUGGAGCAGCUAACUUGGGUGAUGUAGGAUUUUUUUUUUUUUUAAAUCUCCCAGCUCUAUGUCUGACAGAUUUCACCUAAACCAGCCUUGUUAAAUCUCAAGCCCCAUGAAACCCGUUUCUGUUAUAAUCUCUCUCUCUUAUCUCUUCCUUGCCUUCCUUUCCCAUUCUCCUCCCCCAAAGGAUAGGAAAUCUUCAAAGAAAAAGAUGUGUCACUGCAAGUAUACAGCCCAAGAAAUGGGCCAGAUAAAUUAUUAAAACACACGAAAAGACAGUGAGUUAUGGGGUGGGAAGCCCUCGGAGGCCGAAUGGCCACCCCAGGUAGACAGCAUGCUGGUGGCCCCUGGAGACCCCCUUCUCAGAGACCUGGACAGACUAACAUUUUGCCACAAGGCCCAUCUCUUGGGUUCUCACCCCAGAUCCGGGUAAGGGUAUCAUGAUUCCAAUAGCAGUGAAGUCCCAGGCGCCUGCUGGGCUGGGAGGCACCAGGGUGAAGGUGGAGGGGGGCUUUGUGUCUGGGCUGGACAUUUGGGAUUUACUCCCCGCAAGACUCAAACUGCUAACUGCAGUUUUAGUUCUUGCUUUUAUCUCUUUUUGAACUGUAAAAAGAAAUUCCCAAGGGGAAGAGGGGAUACUUUUUUCUCAUGGAAGAAGAAAGCCAGGACCGGUUUAAGAAAGUAACCAACUUUCUAAGCACUGUGAGAAAGGAUGCUCCAAGUUUUGCUUUGAUUUAGAGGCACCCUGGUACCAGCAGGGAGGGGUGAGAAAGGCAAACAGGAAUUCCAGACGAAUUCCAUUGCCUUUUGAGGGGUCUGAAAGAGGGUGCCCACUCCGACUCAGAUGCUCAAACCCCUGCCUCCCUCCUACACCUGACCCCCGCCGUUCUGCCCCACUUUUUCAUGUUCCUACAGCUCAGGGGUUCUUACUUCAGCAUUACCCACAUUUGAUGCUGGAUCAUUUGUUCUGGUAGGGUGGGGGGGCUGCCUUAUGCAUUGUGGUAUGUGUAGCAGCAACCCUGGCCUCUACCCACUAGAUACCUCCAGGCAUUACCAAGUGUCCCCUAGAGGGCAAAAUUGUUUGCUGUCAGGUCCUUAUGGGAUGGAAAGAAAGAAAAAUGGCCUGUUACCCCUGGUGUAACUUACUACACUGUUUACUAAUUCAUCAUUUAUUGUUUCUUGCCUAUCUUCCCCCUAGGUGAGUGGGAGUUCGAUGAGAGUGGCAGUUGUCUAUUUUGUUCACCGAUGUAUCUUAGGUGACUAAAACAAUGGUUGUCACAUGGCUGGCCCUUCAUAUUUGUUUCCAGAUGGAAGACUCUCUUUCUAGUGGUGGAACAUUAGUUUUGCACUGUGUUGGGACAACCUGAUGUAGUGAAAACAAGCCUGGGCAAUGAAAUCAACAGAUUGGAGUUCAGUUCCUAAUUGGGUCAUGGAUGAACUUUGUGACCUUGGGCAAGUGAGUUCACCUCUCUGAGUUGAAUAGGUUCCCUCCUUUCUAGAACAAGUAUGAGUCUGCAUCAGAGAGUGGUUGCGAGGGCUACACAUGAUGGAGGAUGAGGACUGGCACAUCAGAAGUACUGAAUGAAGAAUUGUAACAUAAAAAUGACAACAGUAAUAUAUUUUUGUGGUUUCAGCACUCUUCAAAUGAAACCACCUGGCCAACAGGAUUUUAGUGUACCUGCUUAUAACAUUAGCCUUCGUUUCCACCAAAAAGGGUGUUAAAAAAGGAAGCUUGGAACAUGAAAGUAAGACACUUGGAUGAAGAGAUUUAUGACUCUGGGGGGCUGUGAAUUCCUAAUGUCCUUUUGAGACAUGUAGAUCUUCCAGAGCGAUGCUGCCCAAUGCAGUAGCCACUAGCCAAGUGCAAAUGGUCACUUGCAAUAUGGCUAGUCUUUGAGAUGUGUUUUAAGUGUAAAAUACACACUGAAUUUUAAAGACUUAGCGCAAUACAAAGAAUGUAAAAUAUCUCAUUAUAUCUUGAAAUUAUACUAUUUUGGAUAUAUGGUGUUCCCUUGGUGUCUUUGGGGACUGGUUCCAGGAUCCUAGAGGAUACCCAAAUCCCCAGAUGUCAAGUCCGCUAUAUAAAAUGUCCUGUAGUAUUUGCAUAUAACCUACACACAUCCUUCUGAAUACUUUAAAUCAUCUCUAGAUUCCUUGUAAUUCCUAAUACAAUGUAAAUGUUAUGUAAAUAGUUGUUAUACUAUAUUAAAAAGUUUUUUAUUCUUUAU
rnacentral:lncRNA from 1 species